UUGAGUUGUUCCAUGAUCAUACAUACUAAAUUUACAUUUAACAUUAAUUUGAAAUUAUUUCUUAAUGUUUUAUGGCUAUUCUCAUUAGGAAACAGGUAUUCAAAGGACUGUGUUAUUAUUAGUAUAUCAUGCUCAAAGUGAAGACUACUGUCGUAUGGUUUGUAAUUUACUUUGGAGUAAUAAUGGGUUUUUGUAAAAAAUGGACAUAGUGAUGAUGUCUUGGAUUUUAUGUUUAAAUGUUGGCAUUUCAAGAGAUAUAUGUCUUUUUGCUCUCAACUAGCAUGAGAAAUAAUGAGAGAAAUGUUUACCAAAAAAGAUGAGAAACUAACAACCAUAAUUUUACACAAGCAAUGAUAAAUUUAGAGACUUUAAGACAAUGACAUCAUGAAGCUGUAGAGUGACAAAAAAAUGUCAUUUUUCAUGAUAGUGUCUUUCACAGUAACUUGUUUAUUAUAAGUGCUUGAAUAAGUGAUAAUUAUCAAUAUUGUCAUAACAUUCUGUCACAGUCACAAAACCACUGACCGUUACCAUGUCAGCAUUUUGAAGUGCUCAACAAGCACCAUGCCAUUCUCUUUAGGGCUGGCUGUCUGCUUUCAGUUUGCUUAGCAGACUCUCUGAGGCAUGAGCUCAGGGGCUGUUUCUGUAUCCCACAUGACACUUAGCCCAGUGCCCCACACAAGAUCAACAUUAAAUAGAAUUUUGGGGACAGUGAGAGAAUCAAAAGAUCAAUGACACUUCCCAUCCAUAUGCCAGCUGUGGGAAUUGUUGCUAGGUAAAACACUAUCUCAUUGCAGCAGUGGUUUCAAUAUCCUUUUCCUUACCAUUUCUGCUUACUAGCUUGCUACUGGCUGUGUCUUUUCCCCUCUACUAACUUUACAUGGAGACCUUAUUGGCUCUUAAAUAUAGGUUGAUAACCUAAUCAACUGCACAGCUAUCCCAUCAUUAUUCCCAGGUUCUGCCCAAACUCUGGGAAGUAUUAUACCAGUGUACACUAGGGAGGGGGCAUCUUGGGGCCAUGUUAGAACUCUACCUGCACAACAGCAAAAGUAUUUGUAUUCUAAUCCAUUUCCUAUCUUAUCUUGCUGCUUCCAACUUCAUGUAAAUUGAGUGUCCAUCCCUUAACUAUCUGGGCAACUAUGGUUUCCCUUGAGGAUGUUCUGAUUAACCUUUGACUUUUUUAUCUUAUCUGAGACUUGUUUAUCUGAAGUCUCACUUCAUUUACCUUUACCCAGACUUUCUUGCAAGGCACUCACAUUUCUUUUCCUUCUUCCUUUACAAUCUUUUCCCUGUGUAACAGUUAUUUGAACUCCCCGCUUUCAAAGACUAAAUUUUUUUGCUUCCAACUCAAUAUAAAAAUUUUUUUCUAGUCCCAGGCCUUGAUUGUAAAUUCUGCAUUCAUCAAAACUCUCUUACAAAAUCAAAAGCUUACAUACCAUUUUUUUUUGUCCUAAAGGAAAAGCUAGGUACCUAUUUGUUACAUAAUUCUUUUUGAAGUCUGCAUGUUUAGCACACACAUACUAUUAUAUUGUUUACCAGACAAUGACUUAAGUACAAUGUUACUGUUCAAAAUAUGAAUAUAAGAAGUAUCAUGGAAGAGUGGCAACUGCAUUUUAUAUUUUCUUUCAUUUUUAACACCAUACAUGGCUUUUAUAUAAAAGUCUGGCAUGCAUUUAGUUUUUUCUCUUUUCCAAAAAAUGUGAAUAAUGUACACUUCCUUCAUAAAUUACAUGCAGUCUUGUACAAAAUCAAACACCUGAGUAUAGAAAUAAAUUGUAUUCUAACAAUAAGAUCAUUUUUCACUCCUUUUUGCUUAGUCUUUCUAUGAGUGUGCUCAGGUUGCCGUAACAAAUGCCACAGACCUGAUGGCUUAAAGAAAUGUAUUUUCUCACAAUUCUAGGAGCUAGAAGUCCAAGAUAAGGUGCUGGCAGGGUUGUUUCUUCUGAUCCUCUCUCCUCAGCUGCAGAUGGACUUCUUCUCUCUGUAUCUUCACAUAAUCUUCCCUCUGGGUAUAUCUGUGUCCUAAUCUCUUCCCCUAAAGCCAGUAGUCAUGUUGGAUGAGGGCCUGCCCUAAUGACCUCGUGUAACUUAAUCAUUUUUUUAGAGUCCCUAUCUCCAAAUGUAGUCACAUUCUGAGGUACUGGAAGUUAAGACUUCAACAUACGAGUUUGAGGGGAGGGGAACACAAUUCGGCCCAUAGCACUCAAUGUGAACUUCCUGUUUUGUGCAUAGAUGUCUAAAGAGAAGAAAGGAAUGCAAAAUUCCAUGUAAGAGAAGUACUUACUCUGCUGAGAUGAACUAAUGCUACUUCAGGACCACCAUUUAAAGCUAAUGCAGAAGUACAUGUAGCAAAGCGAUUAUGGGUGAUCAUUUUCUUGGUAGAUUGUAAUAGACCAUUCAGAGAAAAGUGUUGAAUAUUUUCUUGGAUUGAAAGAAAGGGGUACAAAAGGAACCAUUUCCCAGCAUUUUAUUUGAUUCCAUAAGAAUUCUGAGCAUUGUAGGAAGCCAGAUCCAAUGAGAAUCUUAGGGGUUUAUGCAUGUAUUACUUUCAGAAUAGGAUAGUAACUUGUCUGUUGUAAAAUAUUAUCUUGACAUGCAUUUUUAAUGAAUUGGGUCUUUCAGGUAUGUCCACCCAUAAACCUGAUAGUUCAACCUCUCUAUAACCAUCUUCACUACUUCCUUUCUGAGGAAAUAACAUUUUAAUAUAAAAUUACCACUUUUGUAAUUUAGAUCUCUGAUUUCUAAGAUAAAACAGACAUAUCAUUUGGGGGCAGGAAUGGAAGCAAAGUAAACUUCUGCUUAAAGAAGAAACAACUUUGUGAAAAAAUACCUGGACAUAGUUUUACAGUACUUCAGAAACAUUUAUUUUGUGCUUAUCUUUUGACUGCAGUGUGAACCAGAUUAGUUAUGUUAAAAAGAAGAAGUCCUAUUAGGUAUCUACCCUAAAUGAAAAGACAUCUUCCAUCCCAAUGCAGCAAGAGAAACUAAAUAAAAAGGGUGUCUUCUCUCACUCUCAUUUUCCAUUAUUAGGAAUUUGGUAAGGUGUAAGAAUAACUUGGUGAUAUCAUGUUAUCCCCCUCCUCUCUCUUCCACCUGUUGAAUGACUUGCUGAUUUAUUUUGUCCACAUCUGCAGUGUUUGGUUCCCAUCUGGUAUGAGAUAGAUCUCAGUUAUCGGGUCUCUUCUGCUUGCUACAUCUGUUAAUUUUGAUUAUUUCUUAAAUGGUAGUUCCUUAACUAACUUCUCUUUAGUAUCCUUUUCAUUUUAGACUACUAGUGGGCAAAUUUUAAUGUUUUACAACUCAGAAUAUGAUUUUUACACUCAGGCUAAUAGCUCAAUUGGCUUAAAAAUUUAGGAAAGGUAAAUUGGGCCACUUGGUACUUUUUCAUAUAAGGAAAACAAACUACUUGUGUGCUUCAGUGUUGUUUCUGGAGGAACUUUCCAGAAUAUUAAGUAGUCAGCACUAACUCUUAGAAUGAUGUGAAUGAUGUGCGACUGACUCCCCAGUCCAACUUUCCAUCUAGAGGCUGGUAUCGAAGAAGUUGAAGCUGGGGUGAAUGGGUGCCAUCAUUGUUCUUAGAGGUGGACGGUAGAGGCCUUGUUACUGCUUUUUAGCAACUUUAAUGUUAAUUUGAAGACUUUAGGUUAUAAUUUCAAAGAAAUGUAUCAAUCCAUGUUACUUGCCAAUCUCAGUUCUCCUCCAUGAUAUACAAAGAUCAUAAAAUUAUCCCGAAUUACCAUAUCCAAAUGCUAACAACAAACUACCUAUACACCAUGAGGAAUAGGGUUAAAUUUUGCUCUUCAAUGACAAAUCCCAACCAGGAACAGAUUUCAGCCAGGCAGCUAGCAGAGCUUGCCGGGUGAACUGCACAGGCCAUGGUGGGUGCAGAGCUCAGAGCCGGAAAGCAAACAGCUGCUGUAGCCUGAUUUGAGUUAAAAUAGUGUGAGUGUUUAGUCUGGCGCACGGCUUCAGGGGAGAUUGGCAGCUGGGUCAAACAAAGUCCUUCCAUUGGCUCUCUUCCCAGGCAGCUUCUGCUAGUAUUUAGGUACUAGUGCAGUGUAGGGCCCUUUUCUCAAGCAAAACCUAACAUCUGACCGCACCCUCUUUGCUUUUCCCCCCCCCCAAAAAAAAAAAGCUUCUUUUUCCCUCUUUCCUUAAGAUAAAUUCUCCAGUAGACAACCUCUCCCACUAAUUGUGUAUUAGCAAUGUAUUUUAUCUUGAGAGCUGACGCACUGGGCUCUCAAUGUGGUGUGGAAGGCAGCCUGUUACAGUGCUGGAUUCAUAAAAGGGCCUUUAUGGUUCGUGAAAAAAUAUCUGUGUGCUUAGGCAGGAAACUUUUUGAUCUGCAGAACAGCCAGAAGACAUCUAGGGUAUCCUUGAAGAUUAUCAGAGAACCUUUUAUACACCUGUAAAGGGAAAAACUUGAAAUGGAUAUGAGAAGUGAAGAAAGGGAUCAUAGGAGAAAAUCAUCUCAGAGUGGAAAUUAUGACACCAGCAUUGCAAGAUUUUUAUGAAGAUUAAAAGUUCACAUGGAUAUGGCAUUUAGCAAGCAUGGCACCUUGAAGAAAAUAGAAGUUGAAAAACAUAUGAUUAUGAUGAUCAUUGCCAUAGUACACGGAAAUUUGAAAUGGAUUUCUGUUAUCUGCAACCAAAACAAACCUGAGACGGAAAUAUUUAAUACCAGAAGUUAUGUUGGAAAAAGAAGACCAAAAAUGGAAAACUGGUUGAGUUGAGGUGGGGUAAAUUACAAGGAUUAUUCCAUUAUCCCAGGAUGGAAAUUGCCAAACCUUCAUUAUACCAUAAGAAACUGGUUAAAAAGUUACCUGUGAAAUCAUAACAAUGAAGCAAAACUGAAGGACGAAAAUAGCAACAGACUCACAGACUCUAAGAAGGGACUAGCGAUUA